UCGAAUCCUGAAAAGCAGACCACUGUGAACUCGUGUUACCAAACGGGCGUUGGUGGGAGCGGGUUGGAUUAAAAACCCUCCCGUUGUCACACCGGCGUCCAUCAUGCACCCAUUGGGUGCACCAUAACUAAACUCCGGCGCGGAAAGCGCCAAGGGAAACAAAUAUUGGAUUGCUCGUUACCUUUCGUCCGCGUGGGGUAUCGUGGCAUCUGUCGUAAUCUAAACGACUCUCGGCAACGGAUAUCUCGGCUCUCGCAUCGAUGAAGAACGUAGCGAAAUGCGAUACUUGGUGUGAAUUGCAGAAUCCCGUGAACCAUCGAGUCUUUGAACGCAAGUUGCGCCCAAAGCCAUUAGGCCGAGGGCACGUCUGCCUGGGCGUCACACAUUGCGUUGCCACCCCCACCUACGGGGUGGCAGAGAAUGGCCUCCCAUUCCCCCAGGAGUGGCUGGCCUAAAUGCGAGUCCUCGGUGAGGGACGUCACGACAAGUGGUGGUUGAAUAUCUCAACUCGAGUGCUGUCGUGUUGACGAAUCUCCCGUUAUUGGACUCUGUUGACCCUAUAGCGCACGUCUUGACGUGAGCAUCAAUUGCGACCC
rnacentral:misc_RNA from 1 species